rnacentral:tRNA from 1 species
GCGCCGUUGGUCUAGUGGUUAUGAUAACUGCCUUCCACUUCUGUCGGAUUAGCAGUUGAGACGCGUUCGAUUCGCGUACGGCGCA